rnacentral:lncRNA from 1 species
UAUUUUAAGGUCUCUAUAGUCUAGUAUGCAAAUCCUAAAGCAUUUGAUGUCUGCUGAGGAAUAAAUCUAAUUUUCCUGAGCAAAAUCCAGCAAUCUGCAAAAUAUUGAAGGAAAAUAUCAAGAACUGAAGGGAGCAAGUCAUUUACAAGCAGACAGUUGUUUCUCAUAGACCACACGACAUGCAUCAGAGAGCAAGUAAGAACAUGCCAACCAAGAAAAGUCACUCACAUAAAGUAUAAAAUAUCUUCAAGGAUAAGCAGCUACAAGUAUAUGAAUCAUAACAAACCUCCUAUUCAAACAAAAGGGAAAAAGAAAAGAAAAGAGGCAUAAGACAGUCAACAGGUAAAAAAAAAGGCAAUAGCAAGUAAGCAAGCAAUAUCGAAAGACUACUACAAUAACUAGGCCUCAAUCCCAAUCUAUUUGGUGAAUCACAAUAUCUAUUCAGUUCUAUUCGAGCCCGUUUCAGAGAAUACAACCCCCACGAAAACUAACCAUAUGAAGAAAAAUAGUUUACCUGAUCUUCUCCACUAGCACAAGCACAAAAGCUCACAGCUUCAAGGAGGAAAAAAAACCACUUGAUAUAACACACAAGGCUCAAAGAACCCAGAAAUGUUUUUAAAAAUGGAGGAAUUAACAAAUAAAAUUCAAUUUCUAGAAAAACUCAGAGCUUCCUAUCUGAUCAUGACAAAGACCAAGAUUCCUCAGUCCUUGUUCAAAGUAUUUAAAGCAGUCCAAUAAGAUAAAUUAAAGAGAAGCAGUUACUUAAACUGACCAAUAUGAAACAAACUACUAGCUUAAAAUAUUAAAAGAAGACCACAUAAAGGAAUAUAUAGAGUAGUUACUGUCGUGGGAAUUGAGGUAGUAUGAAAUGACGGAUCUAGAGGGUUAAUCAAAA